rnacentral:rRNA from 1 species
AACGCUAGCUACAGGCUUAACACAUGCAAGUCGAGGGGCAGCAGGGAUUUAGCUUGCUAAAUCCGCUGGCGACCGGCGCACGGGUGCGUAACGCGUAUCCAACCUGCCCAUUACUCGGGCAUAGCCCAGUGAAAACUGGAUUAACUCCCGAUGCUGUUCUGAAGUGGCAUCUUAUCAGGACAAAAGUUUACGGUAAUGGAUGGGGAUGCGUCUGAUUAGGUAGUAGGCGGGGUAACGGCCCACCUAGCCGACGAUCAGUAGGGGUUCUGAGAGGAAGGUCCCCCACACUGGAACUGAGACACGGUCCAGACUCCUACGGGAGGCAGCAGUGAGGAAUAUUGGUCAAUGGGCGAGAGCCUGAACCAGCCAAGUAGCGUGCAGGAUGACGGCCCUAUGGGUUGUAAACUGCUUUUAUGCGGGAAUAAGAUCAGAUACGUGUAUCUGCGUGCAUGUACCGCAUGAAUAAGCAUCGGCUAACUCCGUGCCAGCAGCCGCGGUAAUACGGAGGAUGCGAGCGUUAUCCGGAUUUAUUGGGUUUAAAGGGAGCGUAGGCGGGAUAUUAAGUCAGUCGUCAAAGCCUGUGGCUCAACCACAGCCCGCGAUUGAUACUGGUAACCUUGAGUGCGGAUGAGGUGGAUGGAAUUCGUGGUGUAGCGGUGAAAUGCUUAGAUAUCACGAAGAACUCCGAUUG